AUUCAAGGGGUGCCUACCAAUUGUGGGCUGAGAUGAUACCCUCUAACCUGAUGCGGACAAUACCGACGUAGGGAUGGACA
rnacentral:ncRNA from 1 species